rnacentral:rRNA from 1 species
UACGUAGGCAGCAAGCGUUGUUCGGAAUUACUGGGCGUAAAGAGUGUGUAGGCGGUGCUCUAAGUUCGGUGUGAAAUCUCCCGGCUCAACUGGGAGGGUGCGCCGAAAACUGGGGUGCUGGAGCGCGGGAGAGGAAAGCGGAAUUCCUGGUGUAGCGGUGAAAUGCGUAGAUAUCAGGAGGAACACCGGCGGUGUAGACGGCUUUCUGGACCGUAGCUGACGCUGAGACACGAAAGACGUGGGUAGCAAACAGG